CAAGAACAGAUAUGAAACUGUGACCCAGGAGAACAUGCCCUGCAAGAGGGCCAGAAGUACUCUGAAACUUGCUAGGGUUCCCAUGUGGAAGAUGAGUCACACCAGGGUCCAGCAAGACUUCUCUGCCCUCUGCUGGAGGCAUCAGUGUCUUGCCACUCCCUGCUAAAGAAAAUCCGCUCUGAUUGGGCUGCCAACACGAUUUACUCCUCCAAAGAAUUAGAAGGCCAAAGUAGACUGGUGGAGACGCUGACUAAGAAGGCUUGGCUACUUCCUCUCAGGGGGUGACAGGAUCAGGAUACCAGGCAUGAGGACUUCUGGAUGCCCCUUGUACAGGAGAGAUUUUGAAGGACUCUACCCUGGAAGGGGGGAAAUGUUGAGUGACCUCGCCAGAGGGCCAAAUCACUAAGAGGGAGCAACAGUUAAUGAAGUGAGCGUAGGGCUGUGGCCUGAGAGUGAGAGGCAGAGAAACCGCAUGCGACCGCAGGAAGAGGCAUUGGUCUCAUGGAGCGAAUCCCCAGAACAGCCAGGAGGAGGCACCAUUCCAGCAGUGAGUAGAGCACACAUGUGGGUAUUGAUAGUUAUUACAAUGUAUUAAAGAGAAGACAACGUAUCAAGAAUUUGGUAUUUUGACAGUAAAAGCAAUAUAAAUACACAUCAGUGUCUAAUCCUGCAUGGUAUGAAUGUCUACUGUGAGCAGGGCUGUGCAAUACAUCUGCUCUUUCAGAGUCUGUUCUGGUUUGGCUACCCACCGUUUGAGACUUACACCUGUCUUAUUUUGAAGCCU